UAUAUAGAGGUAGCGUGGCCAAGCAGACCAAGGACAGGAUUGGGAAUCAGGAACUCAGUUCCAAUCCCUGCUCUGUCAAUGACUUGCUGGGUGACUCUGGGUGAGUCACUUAAUCUCCCUGUCUCAGAGGCCUCAUCUGUAAAAUAUGGAUAAUAUUUGACUACCUUGCAGGGACUGUGGCAGUGAAUUACUAUUUCGUGAUGACGAAGCUAGGCAAACUUCAACAACCAGCUACCUGAACACAUUUGCUGAGCUGCUCUGUCAAGUAGGAGGCCGGCUGAGGACGGCAGCAGCCAUCGUGAGGAACAGUGCUGGAGUGCACUGAGUACAGAUCGGCCAGCAGUGGUGUGGCUCAUGUGGAAGGUAGGUGUGACACAGGGGUCUGAGUUCCCACAGGGUGGGAACAGGGAGCAAUGGGUAAGUCUCCUGAGAGGGAGGCAGCUGUGCUAAGGUGGAGCUCCAUCAGAGUCAUCUCGAGGUGUUACAACUUGCUGGGCUGUCUCUGCAGCUCUCGAUUCACUGUGCAUGGAGAGACGUGAGGGUUCUGCAUUUCUAACUCUCUCUUACACAUGACAUUUGAGACCAUGCUGCUCCAAAGGAAAAAGACAGCAAGAUCACAUGUGUUGUCCAAGGAGAGAAAAUGGGUUCCACAGGGGCAAUGAGAAAAUCCAGGCUCUGAUGGAGACUCUGCUCAGAAUAACAGGGAAGUAAGCAAGUAGUAAGAUGGACUCAGGACACAGCACAACCAACCAGAAAGGAAAGUCCAUUUCCUGUGGACUAGAGGGAUCUAGAACAUUCUUCUACCACCUCAAGGAACAUUGCCACAAAGACAGUAACCCUUUUUGGAGUCCAUGGGUUACUAAAUAAAACGAAAAGGGACACACCAUUGGGUGAUGUGGGAGGAGUUAUGGUGAAGCCCUGGGGUGGAUAUGAUCACACACAUUGUGUGAAUCCUCAAAGAAUUAACAAAAUAUAAAACUACCAAUUCCGUGAGCUAAUAAGUCAUACUAAUAUAAUCAUCAACUUGUAAUUAGCACACACAUAUGGCCGACAGAACUCGUAACUGCCUUACACUGCACAAGCAGUUUUCAACCUAACACAAACAUGUUUCAUAUUUAAAACUAACAAUCAAUAUUUCCAAUAUUGUCCUUCCUGUCAGCAGCUUUCUUGGAUUAAAUCCAUAGCUUCAAAUAUUGCUUCAGAACCUUUACGAUGCUUAACUGACCAUCCACUGAUACAUCUAAAGUACGUCAGAGUCUAAAAAGGAACUUUCAGGGAAGCCCAAUGCUAAUAUACGGAUAUUAUAAUCCAGCAGUGCGUGUUCAGUGUCAGAAUAAAAAAGUUUGUUUGGUCUUGUUCCUAAAUAAUUUGCCAAAGUUUGAAAAGUUCAAUUUCCUAUGUGGUUAGAAUACUGGUUGCUUUCUGAAUUUUACCACUCACUUGCAUUAUUCAUAAUAAACCAACAGGAACUCCAAGUCUCCAAGUCUGAACUAACUGCUAAGUAAGACUGAAUGCCACUAACGCCGAUUACUCUGUUCAAGUCAGAUUUGUACUCAAGAUAUCAAAUUAGCAAGCUCAUCAAAAUUAAAUAACUACAUAGUUGGACACAAUUGGCAUUUCUAUUGGAACAAUUUGAAUUGCUGAUAUGAUAUGACCAUGAUUAUUAUGCAAAAUCGGUGGCAAAACAAAUUUCACACAGACCAAAGAAAAAGGCCGUGAAAGUGGUGAAAGUGGUUCGCCACCAACGCAGGCACAACCAAGGGUGUGAGAGCAGAGCCCGGUUAACUGAGGCAACAAAGCCAGUGGAAGACCUGUCAUCCUAAGAGGAGUCAGUGCUGGGCCAUUACAAACAAAGCCAUUCUGCUCUCCCCUUUCUUCUGGAACUCAGGCUCAUUCCUAGGAGCCCCUGCCCCUCUCUUCUUUGGCAGUGUCCUAAGAUGAACGCAGGUCCCGAGAGUGUGAGCGUGUGAGCGUGUGAGCGUGUGAGCACAGGCGUGGGAGGAAGCAGGGUGAUGUCUCUCUCUUAUAUACAUUUCUGGUCUGCCCUUCUUCUUUAAUCUAAUACUGCUCUCUGCUACCCAUCAGAACUCCGAGUACUGUAUAACGUAUUGAUACCCUCAGAGAAUUCUAUCACUGUAGUGGCAUAAAGCCCUAAAUUAAAGAAGCGCAUGGCUCCAUGAACACACGAACCACACAUGUAUCACUGUACCGACAUGCAUACUCUGAGGACACACAGUUGUGCCAGGACACAGACCCACUGUACAGCAUACGCCCGAUGAGAGGGGUAUGUAGAUAAAACAACAACACUCUCUCUCUCUCUCUCUCUCUCUCUCUCUCUCUCUGUGCAUUGUACCACUGUGCCGACACACUCAUCACCAUACUGGCACGUGCCACGUCAGAGCACGGCAACACUGUCUCGGAAUACAAACAUACCCUCUGGGCAUGGUGUCACUGUGCUGGCACAUAUGCUGUCAGAGCAGUGCAUGGCUAUACAGACACCCACCCCAGGCACGAUAGCAGUGUACUGACACACAUGGGCUUUCUGAGUCCUACAUGGGCUCAUACAUGUCUUCCUGACCUCUGCACAGAAAGGCCUUUAUGUAAUAGUUUUGUCCUUUACACUUUAAGGAAAAAUCCUGUUCACAGAUGGUCAUCUCAA
rnacentral:sRNA from 1 species